UUGUUGAGUCAUUGGUAGGGUCCUUCUAGGUGGAAGAGGAGAGGAGGAGACGAGAAAGGAGAAAAACAAGAUGCUGGAGUUGCUGCUGCUGGGCUGCACCGGCGUCGUCGUCGUCCUCCACGGCGCCAAUUUCUUCUUCCAUCUCCUCUGCCGCCGCAUCCCCUUCUUCCGAUCUCUCAGGCAAUACAACUUCUUUCCUCAAACCUUCUUCAUGGUACCCAAUCACGCAAAAGAAUUGAAUUUCGCAAAUUCAAACGAUCUGAUUUUUUAACUUGAAAAUAUUCUUUUACUUCGAAUCAGUGGAAUUGGGUAAAGGACUCUAUUGUCCACUUACAAAAGAAAUCCUCACAAAUCCCAUCCCAAAUCAUUGGAUUUGCUUGUAGUUGCUGGAAUUAAUUAUUCCAAAUCGUAAAAAAUUCGUGAAAUUCGCAUCCACUAGUUUGUUUCUUCUAACACAAAUUUCGUAUUUUUCUCUUUUUUUUUCUUUUGUUUUAGUAAUUUCAUCUAAACAGCGCUGUGGAUGCUAUCAUUUUGUGUUAAAAUCAAUUUAGGCCUAAUUUUGAAUUACGUUGUUAAAGCCGUUAUUUUUAUAUUUUGAAAGCUAAAAAAAAUAAUAAUAAUAAAUCUAAACAAGUCAAUUAAACUCCUAUAAAUUUUUGUAUUACUUUUUUGACUAAAUUACAGAAAACUCUCUUAUAAAUAUCUUUUUUUUUUUAAUUUUGCUCUCUAACUUUUAAAAAUCUAUAUUUCACCCCUCAAUAUUUUAAGUUGUUGUAUUUAACCCCCUUCGUCAGGGUUCAAUCACUAUUUCGUUCAUUUCUUAUAAUUUAUACUGAAAGUAUCUUUUAAAAUUUCAAAAAUAUAUUAAAAUUUUUUUUUUUUUAUAAAAAAGUAAGAAUAAUUUGAUCAUUUUGUCAUUUCUGUUAACAUCGUAACUCCGGAAAAUAUUUCUGAAAUUUUAAAAAAGACAAAAUAUAUAUAGAUUUUUGAACCUAUUUUUUUUUAUAGUUUUGAUUUUUGAUUUCUUUGUUGCAGUUUUCUCGGAUUCGUGGGAUGGUAGGGCAUGGAUUGACUUGGCGAGAUCACUGAUGAGUUGAGAAGAUGCAUGGAUUUAGAGUUCAAUUAAUCAUUCCACUUCACAGAAGAGUUCAAUUUGAUUUACUUAGAAAUGAUUAUGUUUAGUUGAAUAAAUUAUGAGUCGAGUUAACUUUUACUAAGUUUCCUUCCUUGGAAAGAAAGAAAAAGCUAUUUCAACAUUUUUAUUUGAUGCAGUUAUAAAUAGGCUGACUUACAGAAAAUCUUUAUAUGAAUACUUACUUUUUCACUUUCUCUUUUUCACUUUUCUUUUCUAACUUUUAAAAACCUACAAUUUACCUUCUGAACAUUUCAAGUUGUUGCAUUCAGCCCCCUUCCAUCAGAAUUCCAUUAUUAUUCCAUCAAUUUCUUAUUGAAAAUGCCCUUCAAAAUGACAAAAUUAUAUUAAAAAUUUAUUUUUUCUUACAGAAGAAGUAAAGAUAAUUUAGUCAUUUUGUCCUCUCCAUUAAUGUCGUACCCCCGAAACAUUUUUGAAAUUUUAAGAGGGCAAAAUAUAGGAAAAGUAAAAAAAAAAAACAGAUAUUUACAUGAAGGUUUUCUGUAAUUUAGCAUUAUAAAUACAAUAUUAUUAGAAAUAGGUGUGGUUAGAGAUAGAAUAGUUAUAUACUGUACCGUUUGGUUCGGGUAUAAGCAAGAACUAGCUAUUACAGGGAUAGGUAUAAGUAUGGGGAUAAGAAAAAUAGCGUUUGGAUGAAAAUUGGGUUGUUCCCGAGGAUAAGAAAAAUAUUAGGAAGUUUUAUAUAGAAAAUGGAGGUGUUGGUGGGGAUAACCGAGAACUACUAUUCUCGGGUAAAAAAUUAGCGUUUGGGUAUAAAGAGGAGGAUAAGAGCUUAUCCCUAUCCCUAUUCCCAAACCAAACAGUGCAAUUAAU
rnacentral:lncRNA from 1 species